rnacentral:lncRNA from 1 species
UAGAAUUUGGAGUGUUUGAUAGGUGAGUUAAUUAGUAGCAUUGGCCCGUAGAAAAGGGGCGGCCCGCUACUAAUGUACUGUUCCUCCUAGAUCAGCCAUCUCACCCCACCCCCAAGUUAAGUUAUCCCAUUUUGUACAGUAACCCAUAUUAAUUUUUUGUUGACAGAUUUAUCCCCAUCAUCAACCCAACUUCAAAAAUGAAAAAUCAGGAAUUCUCUCGUGAAAAAUCAAGAUGUUCUUCGCAAAAAUCGUCGUGUUCUUCAAUCGCAGAAAAAUUCAAGAAUUGGAAUACGAACCCAGAAAUCGU